rnacentral:rRNA from 1 species
GCGUGCGAUCAUACCAGCACUAAAGCACCGGAUCCCAUCAGAACUUCGAAGUUGAGCGUGCUUGGGCGAGAGUAGUACUAGGAUGGGUGACCUCCUGGGAAGUCCUCGUGUUGCGUUCC